rnacentral:rRNA from 1 species
GACGAACGCUGGCGGCGUGCCUAAUACAUGCAAGUAGAACGCUGAAGGAGGAGCUUGCUUCUCUGGAUGAGUUGCGAACGGGUGAGUAACGCGUAGGUAACCUGCCUGGUAGCGGGGGAUAACUAUUGGAAACGAUAGCUAAUACCGCAUAAUAGCAGUUGUUGCAUGACAACUGUUUGAAAGGUGCAAUUGCACCACUACCAGAUGGACCUGCGUUGUAUUAGCUAGUUGGUGGGGUAACGGCUCACCAAGGCGACGAUACAUAGCCGACCUGAGAGGGUGAUCGGCCACACUGGGACUGAGACACGGCCCAGACUCCUACGGGAGGCAGCAGUAGGGAAUCUUCGGCAAUGGACGGAAGUCUGACCGAGCAACGCCGCGUGAGUGGAGAAGGUUUUCGGAUCGUAAAGCUCUGUUGUAAGAGAAGAACGAGUGUGAGAGUGGAAAGUUCACACUGUGACGGUAUCUUACCAGAAAGGGACGGCUAACUACGUG